AUUGAACGCUGGCGGCAGGCCUAACAAAUGCAAGUCGAACGAGUGGCGGACGGGUGAGUAAUGUCUGGGAAACUGCCUGAUGGAGGGGGAUAACUACUGGAAACGGUGGCUAAUACCGCAUACUAUCAGAUGUGCCCCGAUGGGAUUAGCUAGUUGGUGGGGUAACGGCUCACCAAGGCGACGAUCCCUAGCUUGUACGAGAGGAUGACAAGCCACCCUGGAACGGAGACACGGUCCAAACUCCUACGGGAGGCAGCAGUGGGGAAUAGUGCACAAUGGGCGCAAGCAGGAUGCAGCCAUUCCGCGUGUAUGAAGAAGGCCUUCGGGUUGUAAAGUACUUUCAGCGGGGAGGCGUUACCCGCAGAAGAAGCACCGGCUAACUCCGUGCCAGCCGCCGCGGUAAUAC
rnacentral:rRNA from 1 species